rnacentral:rRNA from 1 species
AGAACGAACGCUGGCGGCGUGCCUAACACAUGCAAGUCGAACGGAAUUAGGGAGCUUGCUCCUUAAUUUAGUGGCGCACGGGUGAGUAACGCGUAGAUAAUCUGCCCUGGUAUCUGGGAUAACAUUUCGAAAGGGGUGCUAAUACCGGAUAAGCCCACGACGGCUUUGGUCGAUGUGGGAAAAGGAGGCCUCUGAACAUGCUUCUGUAUCAGGAUGAGUCUGCGUACCAUUAGCUAGUUGGUAGGGUAAUGGCCUACCAAGGCUACGAUGGUUAGCUGGUCUGAGAGGAUGAUCAGCCACACUGGAACUGAGGCACGGUCCAGACUCCUACGGGAGGCAGCAGUGGGGAAUUUUGCGCAAUGGGCGAAAGCCUGACGCAGCAACGCCGCGUGAGUGAUGAAGGCUUUCGGGUCGUAAAGCUCUGUCAAGGGGAAAGAAAUGCUUAGCGGUUAAUACCCGUUAUGCUUGACGGUACCCCUAAAGGAAGCACCGGCUAACUCCGUGCCAGCAGCCGCGGUAAUACGGAGGGUGCGAGCGUUGUUCGGAAUUAUUGGGCGUAAAGCGCGUGUAGGCGGUUUGGUAAGUCUGAUGUGAAAGCCCUGGGCUCAACCCGGGAAGUGCAUUGGAAACUGUCAGACUUGAAUACGGGAGAGGGUAGUGGAAUUCCUGGUGUAGGAGUGAAAUCCGUAGAUAUCAGGAGGAACACCGGUGGCGAAGGCGGCUGCCUGGACCGAUAUUGACGCUGAGACGCGAAAGCGUGGGUAGCAAACAGGAUUAGAUACCCUGGUAGUCCACGCCGUAAACGAUGAGUACUAGGUGUUGCGGGUAUUGACCCCUGCAGUGCCGCAGCUAACGCAUUAAGUACUCCGCCUGGGAAGUACGGUCGCAAGACUAAA